rnacentral:rRNA from 1 species
AGAACGAACGCUGGCGGCAGGCUUAACACAUGCAAGUCGAGCGCCCAGCAAUGGGAGCGGCGGACGGGUGCGUAACACGUGGGAACAUGCCUUUCGGUACGGAACAACUGCGGGAAACUGCAGCUAAUGCCGUAUACGCCCUUACGGGGAAAGAUUUAUCGCCGAAAGAUUGGCCCGCGUCUGAUUAGCUAGUUGGUGAGGUAACGGCUCACCAAGGCUUCGAUCAGUAGCUGGUUUGAGAGAACGACCAGCCACACUGGGACUGAGACACGGCCCAGACUCCUACGGGAGGCAGCAGUGGGGAAUCUUGGACAAUGGGCGAAAGCCUGAUCCAGCCAUGCCGCGUGAGUGAUGAAGGCCUUCGGGUUGUAAAACUCUUUUACCUGGGAAGAUAAUGACUGUACCAGGAGGAUAAGCCCCGGCUAACUUCGUGCCAGCAGCCGC